rnacentral:rRNA from 1 species
AUGAACGCUGGCGGCGCGCCUAACACAUGCAAGUCGAACGAUUAAAGCACCUUCGGGUGUGUAUAAAGUGGCGAACGGCUGAGUAACACGUGGGCAACCUGUCCCUCUCAUUGGGAUAGCCACGGGAAACCGUGGAUAAUACCGAAUACUUCGGGACUUCCGCAUGGAAGACUCGAGAAAGCUCCGGCGGAGAGGGAUGGGCCCGCGGCCUGUUAGCUUGUUGGUGGGGUAAUGGCCUACCAAGGCAAUGAUGGGUAGCUGGGUUGAGAGACCGACCAGCCAGAUUGGGACUGAGACACGGCCCAGACUCCUACGGGAGGCAGCAGUGGGGAAUCUUGCACAAUGGGCGAAAGCCUGAUGCAGCGACGCCGCGUGCGGGAUGAAGGCCUUCGGGUUGUAAACCGCUUUCAGCAGGGACGAGGCGAAAGUGACGGUACCUGCAGAAGAAGCCCCGGCUAACUACGUG